rnacentral:rRNA from 1 species
UUUAAAGAGAGUUUGAUCCUGGCUCAGGACGAACGCUGGCGGCGUGCCUAAUACAUGCAAGUCGAACGAACGGAGGAAGAGCUUGCUCUUCCAAAGUUAGUGGCGGACGGGUGAGUAACACGUGGGCAACCUGCCUGUAAGUUGGGGAUAACUCCGGGAAACCGGGGCUAAUACCGAAUGAUAGAAUGUGGCGCAUGCC